GGAAUAUUGGGCAAUGGGCGCAAGCCUGACCCAGCAACGCCGCGUGAAGGAAGAAUGCUUUCGGGUUGUAAACUUCUUUUCUCAGGGACGAAGCAAGUGACGGUACCUGAGGAAUAAGCCACGGCUAACUACGUGCCAGCAGCCGCGGUAAUACGGAGGAUGCGAGCGUUAUCCGGAUUUAUUGGGUUUAAAGGGUGCGUAGGCGGGCUUUUAAGUCAGCGGUAAAAACUCGGGGCUCAACCCCGUCCGGCCGUUGAAACUGGGGGCCUUGAGUGGGCGAGAAGAAGGCGGAAUGCGUGGUGUAGCGGUGAAAUGCAUAGAUAUCACGCAGAACCCCGAUUGCGAAGGCAGCCUUCCGGCGCCCUACUGACGCUGAGGCACGAAAGUGCGGGGAUCGAACAGG
rnacentral:rRNA from 1 species